rnacentral:misc_RNA from 1 species
AUGGGAAACUUUUAAUAAUUUAAAAAUUAUUCUCUUAAUAAUAAAUUUAAGAAACCAAUUAUAAUAUUAAACAAAGCUUAGGUACGUUGAUGUUCUCGACAAUCAUAGAAAUCACUAUGAGUUUUUAAAUGCUGAUUAAACAAGUUUGUACCUUCACUAAUUACCUCACGCCUAAAUGAUUCUGCUUCUCUCCUAUUAGUUAGAUCUAUACACAGCAAAUUAAAAAUAGCACGCCAGAUAUAAGUAGAGAUAUAACUAAAAUAUUAUAGAAAUACUUACAGUGCUACAGUCGUUGUCCUAACCAGUAGGUAUGAUAGAAGAACUGGAAAUGCUUGCAGAUGGAGGAGCAGAAUAAAUUACUCAGUAGUCUUAUUUUCCAAAUGGUUUUCCCAAGAGCUCCACAGUAGUUAAGGGCAGAUUUUCAAGUUCUUGAUUUAAUUCUCUAGUUUGAUUUAUUAAAUUAUCUAACUCAUUACUUACUUGAGAGAAAGCAGAUUGAGAUUGAGAAAAUACUAUAAAACUUUAUUAUAUGGAAAAUUUUACAGGAAAAUGAAAAACACUUAUUAAAACACUUAAAACAUUCAAAUACUCAGAGAAAGUUGUCAAACUCUAUUAUACAUUCUGUUUGUUAAGCAAGUCGGGAACUCUACUUAUAAAGGCUUGAGAAGAAUCUUCUUAAGUCAUUGCAUUCGUCAUUGAGAAGUGGCAGACAUCAAUGGGAAUCUCCUUUUAAGAAGACAUGAUAGAUGCAUUAAAGUGUGGCAGUCACCUUUUAAGUGCUUCAGGAAUCUUCGUACUCUUUACAGCUCAUAAGGGUCUUGGCUGUCUUCAAAGUAUUGUCCUUCUAUGUCGGUAUCGUUGUCGUUAUCUUCUUUUUCUCUUUCUUUUGAGCAUUCGGCAGAAUUUUAGCUUUUGAGCUGGCUUCUUUGUCAUCUUUUGAUAGUGCGUUAAAAAGUUGUCGGCGAAGCUCUUCUUUUGGUACUGACUUUAAUAAAUCUUUAAACAAGUUUGUCAGAUUUGCAGAGGUUGAUGGACUUGGAAUUGCUGGCUUUUUAGCCAAGUGAAUUAAUCAUUUAGAGGAAUAAAUUGAAGGUGGUUCAAAAAAUUUACAUUUAUCCCACUACUUAAUAAGGACUCUUCGAAUUAGUCAUGGAACAUGUUCUGUGAAAAAUUUUUUAUAUUUUUUUUUGAGAUAAUAUAAUCCCAU